UAAGGAUGAAAACGGUCGGAAACGGUCGAAAAACUCCUAAAUUGUUUUCUACUUUUACAUUUGAAAUACGAAAACGAAAACGAAAACGGUAAAGUCGGACACGAAAACGAACGCAAACUUUCGAAAUAUCAAGAAUUUCGAAAACGAACCAAUUCGAGCGGAUUUAUGUCGAACACGGUCGAUAUACGAAAACUCAAUACGAAAUACCGAUGUGUAGUACUAAGUGCAUAACUAAGUAUAUACACGAUCAAGUUUAAGUGCAUAUAAUAAUUAAAAAGUGCAUGAUUCUUGGUCUUAGGUAUUUAUACAAUAGCCCACACAUAAAUAAGAACAAGUAAUUAAUAGCUAGCAGGAACAUAGCUAGCCACUAGUAGAAAGAACACAGAUGCAUGGUGAGUACUCUGUAAUUAGGCUGUGUGACCGUGCAGUUGACUAAAUUCGGUUUAAACCAAAUUUUGAAUUCGAAAUAUUUCAAAUUAAAAGUAGAAAAGUAGAAAACGGUCGAAAAAUGUCUAAACCGUUUUCUACUUUUACAUUUGAAAUACGAAACAUCUAAAAUACGAAAACGAAAACGGUAAAGUCGAACAAGAAAAUACGAAUUCGAUCGGAUCCAAUAU
rnacentral:lncRNA from 1 species